rnacentral:rRNA from 1 species
UCGCCUGUUUAUCAAAAACAUAGCUUUUUGAUUUUAUAAUAAGUGUUUCCUGCUCAAUGACGUUAUUAAAUAGCUGCAGUAUUUUGACUGCACUAAGGUAGCAUAAUCAGUUGUCUUUUAAUUAAGGUCUAGAAUGAAUGGGGCAAUGGGGCAUUAAAGUAUUUUAAUAAUUAAAAGUAAAUUAAAUAUUAAGUGAAAACUCUUAAUAUUUUUAGAAAGACGAAAAGACCCUAAAGAAUUUUUAAAAAUAUUUUGAUGGGGCAUCAUUGAAUUAAAACAUUCUUUUGUUAAAUUACCUUAGGGAUAACAGCUUAAAAGAGAGAUAACUCUUUAGAUAAGACCUCGAUGUUGGACUAGAAACCAAACUAGCUUAAAAAGUUUUACUAUUUGGUGGGUCUGUUCGACCUAUUUUUUCUACGUGAUCUGAGUUCAGACCG